AAAGAACGUGGGUUGGGAAGAAGAAGAGAAGAGGAUAGUUAGAACUUAGAAGGAAAUAUUCUCCGCCUUCAUAAUUAACAGGGAUAUGGCUUUAUAGCCUCACAUCCUACAUUGCCAACUCACCUUGGCCAUAAUAAAAAGACAACUAGGAACUGACAAAUGACAACUGAUAAAUGACAAUUGGGAAAAGAACUGAAAACUCAACCCCUCAACUCCUAAC
rnacentral:lncRNA from 1 species